AGACGCGCAGCGUUCGCUGGAGCUUGCACGGAGGCAGCCUGCUCUGCUCGCCGGGCGUGCAAAUGCGUGCCGACGGUCUCGGCGCAGCCUGGACGCCGGCCUCGGGAGGCUGCCUCCGCCACCGGCGGUGCCGCGCGCGGAGCGCCUGCCGUGCGAACUUCUCAAGGAGAGCGCUUGAUUUCCCCCAGGUGUUCCACGCUCGAUCCCGUGCACUUCUCUGAAGAUGGCGUUGGGAUGCCAGGGAGGAGGAUUGUUACGCUCUCUGAGCUGCGCUCUGACUUCAAACCUCCAGCCUCCGAAGCAAAAUCUCA
rnacentral:lncRNA from 1 species